GAUGAACGCUGGCGGCGUGCCUAAUUCAUGCAAGUCGAGCGCACGGACGAGAAGCUUUCUUCUCUUAUUUUAGCGGCGGACGUGUGAGUAACACGUGGAUAACCUACCUAUAAGACUGGGAUAACUUCCUGAAACCGGAGCUAAUACCGGAUGAUAUUUUGAACCGCAUGGUUCAAAAGUGAAAGACGGUCUUGCUGUCACUUAUAGCUGGAUCCUCGCUUCAUUAGCUAGUUGGUAAGGUAACGGCUUACCAAGGCAACGAUGCAUAGCCGACCUGAGAGGGUGAUCGGCCACACUGGAACUGAGACACGGUCCAGAAUCCUACGGGAGGCAGCAGUAGGGAAUCUUCCGAAAUGGGCGAAAGCCUGACGGAGCAACGCCGCGUGAGUGAUGAAGGUCUUCGGAUCGUAAAACUCUGGUAGUAGGGAAGAACAUAUGUGUAAGUAACUGUGCACAUCUUGACGGUACCUAAUCAGAAAGCCACGGCUAACUACGUG
rnacentral:rRNA from 1 species